UUCUCCUCCCGCAAGCAGAAGUUAUUUAAAGCCGCCAGGAGAGAGCCGGUGGGGGGCCUUAGAGGCGCGGCCCCCCGGGGGGUGAGGAUUUAUGUUUCUUCUCGUGAUGCCGAUGAUUGAUGUUAUUGUUGUUUUGCCGCUCUCCAAUACAGCUGCAUUCAUUAGCAAAGCGACAGAAGGGUCUCCUGCCUUUCCAGAAGGAUUGCUGGAGCAGAGCUCAAGGACUGGGCACAAUGCAGGGGCUGCACGGAGGGAGAGGACGGCUCCCGCAGCCCCCCCGGAAUUCAGUGCAAAACCUGAAGGUUCAUACCUGCUGCUUUUAACACUGAAUUAACUGAUGUUGCAAGUCCCUCUAGCUCAAGAGUGAAAGUGGCAUUGACUGGAAGGAGAAAAGAGCAAGAAAUCACAUUUGCUGCUCGUGCAUCUGCCUGGAGAGGCCUUCUUAUGGCAAGCAGUGCUUGUGGCACAGCUUGGUGUCAGAACUGGUCUGCUAUCGCCUGAUCCAGUUUGCUUAUCUCCUGCCCGGGCUCACUCGGUUUGUGUGCAGAGAUUUCUGCCUUCUUCACACUCACGUGUUGUUGCUGCUCAUUUGCAACUGCGAGCUCGGAAGAGUUUGGCAGCAGGCUGCAGUCAGUCGGAGCAGCCUCUAGGGUGUCCCUGAAGUUCUUUCUUAGCCAGCUGUGCUUCGUGCUCAGAUAGUUCGCUGAGAGAUGGGGUGGCAUUCGUACACCAGCCAAAGCACUGAUCAAAACCACCCGCUGAACCAUACCUCCCAGCGCUGGACUGGGCACGCAGCCGGCAACCUGCAGCUCAUCGCCACCGCCCUUGGGGCUGGGAGACAGGGUGCCAGCCCUUGGGGGCUGCGUGCCCCAACUCACUGCCACGGCCAGGACGGCAGCCUGGCACCCCUUCAUCCCUGUGGAGGACAUGGUCCACGCCGAAACCAUGCCUACCUUCUGGGACGGCCGAUGGCCUCGACACGAAGGAUUGCACCUCCACCGUGGUAAGGUGGCCACCCAGGGCGUGCGUCCUGCACGUCCCACAGCCCACCCUCCUCCUGAGGACACCUCCCCGAGGCCGGAGGACGCCUCCCCGACGGGCUGCAGGCGGCUGCUCGCCCCAGCAGCCCCCCGUCUCCCCCAGCCACGUCCAGCAGGGCAGGGCCGGAGCAGGAGGAGGGCAGCGAGGGCCGGGGGAGGGCGCCAGGGCAGCCGGGCAGGGGCAGCCGCCCCGCCGCGCUUGUGCGGGCCUCUCUUGCCCUCUAGCGGGCAAAGCCAGCGGGGCGGCCCCGCAGUGCCCCCUGCGGCCUCCUCCUCCUCUUCCUCGUCUUCCUCCUCCCCUCCCUGGGCAGGGCUCCUCGUGGGACAUCAGAGUGUGGGGCCCACCUCAGCCGUCACCCCCCCCCCCCGUACCAGGGGACACCUGUGGUGUCCCCCCCUCAGCGCCCCGUGUGUGGGUUCCUGGGGUCUCACUGGUGGGGACAACAGGGACAGGGACCAAGUGCUGUGGCCCCAGAGAGCAAAUGAACGAGUCUGUGGCAAUCAGAGGCCAUGUGUCUGUGUAGUGGAGGCACCAUCCAUCUCUGGUGGUCCCUCCAACUGGUCGUGAUGGCCAACCACAUCCCUAUUGCUUGGGCCAAGUGAUGGAUGGGCCCCAAGGGAAGCACGGGGCUCAGUGCCCCCCACUGCUGGGCAGACAUCGGGUGCCCGCUGCUGCUGCUGAAGAAGGGAGCAGAAGCUGAGGACACGGGUGCUCCAAGCGUGGUCCUGCUCCUGGGGGAGAUGGGGGCAACUCUGCAGUGAGCCCGUGGCUGAGUGGGGCUUGAGAUGGGGCUGUGCUUGGGAAAGGGAGAAUGUCCAUGCUCACGUGGGACCUUUUGAUGUACCAUAGGAAGACUGGUUCUUCAAGUGGUUUAGCCUUUUUAU